GAUACAGAAGAGCGGGGACACCAAACUGUCAGGCAGCGGUGGCUCGGCUUGGUAGGAUAAACCUUAUUUUCUGCUCUGUUUGACACUGGAAAAAAGUCCAGUGAAAGCCCAACAGGAGCAAGAUGGGAUCUGCCUCCUCAACUUACCGGCCCAAGUGUAUUUAUUUGGAUAUUGAUGGAAGAAUUCAAAAGGUGAUCUUCAGUAAAUAUUGCAACUCCAGAGAUAUCAUGGACCUCUUCUGCAUUGCAACAGGGUUACCAAGGAACACAACAAUCUCCCUUUUGACAUCAGACAAUUGUAUGGUAUCCAUUGAUCCGACAAUGCCUGCAAACUCAGAGAGGU